AGAGACAACAUGCUGAGAGAGCAGAGGAGACCCUCCAGGCAAGGGCAGACUCCUUGCAGGGGCAGGCUGGGGGCCCCCGCUGCCUGCUGGGUCAGGCUGGUGAAUCUGGUCAUGGUUCCGCCCCCCAGAUUCACUCCCUAGGUGUGUUUGUUUACUGGUUCCUCACUGUCUUGCUCAAAUGCUCCAACUCUACAAAUCCCGGGAUCUCGGGGUGCAGAUCACCUCUCCCAGAUUCCUGAGCCUGUGUCUGGCCAUGGGCACCUCCAGCAUCUUCCUCUGCGUGCUGUUCCUCUGUGGGGCACUGGGUCUCACCAUGUCCCCUGCCCGGGGAAGGCUCCGCUGCUACAUCUGUGGCUUCACCAAACCCUGCCACCCUGUUCCCACCGAGUGUCGGGACGAUGAAGCUUGUGGCAUCAGUAUUGGCACUUCAGAUGCCCAUUGCUGAUGCCCCGUGUCAGCCCAGGUCACUGGCAAGGCAGGCAUUUUGAUGACACUGUGGAUCUCAGGCAAGGGGAUCAAAGGAGCAUCAGGUAUGGUAAGGAGGAGAGUCUUGCUAGGAAAGACUAAUGUGGUAGGUCGGGAACUCAGGAUGGAGGGCUUGGGGGACUAUGAAGAGUACCUUUAAUAAAAGGUCUAUCUAGGAGUCCAGUAAUACUGCAGAUACUGCAGUGUGUGUGUGUGUGUGUGUGUGUGUGUGUGUGUGUGUCUGUGUGUGUGUGCUCUAAGAGCAAACUGUAGCUGCUUGGUGGGUUGGGCUGGAGCUGGAACCUGGACCA
ensembl:lncRNA novel transcript